ACACCCACCUUGGACCAACAAAUGUCUCUGGUGAUACACACAAGGGGGUAGAGAAAGUCUCUCAUAAACCUGUAGUGGCGGCAGUCAUCCUCACUGCGGAUCCUGUCGGGAGAAACAGUU